GACCAACCCAUUAGGCUGCAUGUCUGAUCAAAGCUAAGGAAGAGAUCGGUUUACUCCAAUUGGAAUGGGCAGAAAUAAGGUGAAUCCAACUCCACAAGAACCAACUUUUUUGAGAAUAAUUCUUCUGAUCAGAGGAAUGCUUCACAUAAAGAGAAAAGCAAGAUAUUUCAGAUGCUGAAGAUCUGAAAUAAAAACAG